UAGUACUCUCGAUGAGGU
rnacentral:misc_RNA from 1 species